rnacentral:rRNA from 1 species
AUUGAACGCUGGCGGCAGGCCUAACACAUGCAAGUCGAGCGGAUGAAGGGAGCUUGCUCCUGGCUUCAGCGGCGGACGGGUGAGUAAUGCCUAGGAAUCUGCCUGGUAGUGGGGGAUAACGUCCGGUAACGGGCGCUAAUACCGCAUACGUCCUGAGGGAGAAAGUGGGGGAUCUUCGGACCUCACGCUAUCAGAUGAGCCUAGGUCGGAUUAGCUAGUUGGUUGGGUAAAGGCCUACCAAGGCGACGAUCCGUAACUGGUCUGAGAGGAUGAUCAGUCACACUGGAACUGAGACACGGUCCAGACUCCUACGGGAGGCAGCAGUGGGGAAUAUUGGACAAUGGGCGAAAGCCUGAUCCAGCCAUGCCGCGUGUGUGAAGAAGGUCUUCGGAUUGUAAAGCACUUUAAGUUGGGAGGAAGAGCAGUAAGUGAAUACCUUGCUGUUUUGACGUUACCAACAGAAUAAGCACCGGCUAACUUCGUG